CAUCUAGAGCCCUGUUUGUCUUCACAAUAAAUUUCUCAUCAUCUUUAGCUGAUGACAUUUGUUUCUUGUUUAAAUAUUUGCGGUAAAGAUGAAAGAAUAAAGAAGCAGUGAUGCAAUUUUACAAAGAGAUAGAAGCUUAUCUUUGAUUUUCUUUUUUCCUGAAAUGUUUUGGCACCAGAAAUCUAAAAGCAGCUUCUUUCCAUUAUAGUGUGCUCCAAAUGCAUGAAGCAAAUUUAAAGAAGUGGCAGUGAAUCAGCCUUUCAGUUUGGCAAAAACCUCAUGGUGAGAUGCAGAGUUGAAUUUUAUGUUUCUAUUUGAAGACCAUUCAAAAUCAUCUUGGAUAAGUGGCAUCCUAUGAAGAUGUGAACAAUGAAGUAAUAAGGACUCUCAGGGCUGAAGAAGUCAGAAAAGCGUGCUCAGAAGAGUCCCAAGAUUGAAGUGAUACACUGAUUUUGUUCCUUGUGGCCUCUUUGUCAGAGACUAUCCUGAGUUCCUCACCAUGUGAGUCUCUUCCACAUUACAUCUUACCUCAUCGAUGUGAGCAAGUGAGAAGGUAAAAGAUUGUGUAAGCAAGAAAAGAGUUAUAAUUUUACAACCUAAUUUCUAAAACUACAUUCUAUCACUUUUGCCUAUUCAAUACAUUAGAAGCAGUCACUAGGUCAACCUACACUCAAGAGGAAGGAAGUACACAGAAUAUGAAUAUCAAGUGAGGUAAGGGAGACAUCUUAGGAAGUAUGGCCACUACACAUGACUUUUGUGUAUGAAACUCCAGAACUGCCAGACUUCCUUGCCCACUCUGUUUUAAACCUAUGAAACAGGAACAAGACAUAAAAAUAGAGUAGUAAAAAAAAAGUUUUUGGAAACUAAAUAUAAUUGAAAUGAAAACUCAACAGAAGGAUUGACUAGACAGUGAAGAAAAUGAAGCAAGGAAAAGUGUAAGGUAGCAGAGUAAAUAUAAGAAAUCCAGAGGACUUGCUGGAAAGUCAAACCUUCUAAAAUAAUAAUUCCAGGGGCACCUCGGUGGCUCAGUUAGUUAAGCGUCUGACUUCAGCUCAGGUCAUAAUCUUGCAAUUCAUGAGUUCAAGCCCCACGUGGGGUUCUGUCCUGACAGCUCAGAACCUAAGCCUGCUUCAGAUUCUGUCUCCCUCUCUUUCUGCCCCUCCCCUGCUCACACUCUGUCUCUCUCUCAAAGAUAAAUAAACAUUAAAAAUUAAAAAAAAUAAAAUAAUAAUUCCAGAGGGGAGAAAAGAUAAUGAAAGAAAAUCAUCCAAGAGAUAAUUAAAUUAAAACCUAUAAAUAUUAAGGAUACAAGUCUGGAUACUGAAAGCUCACAACCCAUACCAAGGAAUCAGUAAAAUGACUAAAAAUAGGUUUAGGCAAAGACACAGUUAGGGCAUUUCAGGACAAUGAAGAAAAAAAAAAAAAAAGAAGAAGAGUCUAUUAGCUACUAAAAGGAGAGAGAAAAACAUUACAAAAGAUACAUAAAAAUUCAGGAAUUGGAAUUACUUUUGUUAUCUAUUGUCUAUUAUUUUAAUUUAUUUUUUAUUGAAGUAAAAUUAACAUGCAAUCUUGUAUUAGUUUCAGGUGUACAGCAUAUUGAUUCAAGAAUUCUAUACAUUAUUCAGUGCUCACCACAAUAGGUGUAGUCACCAUUGGUCAUCAUACAUUGUUACAAUAUUAUUGAGUAUAUUCUCUAUGCUGUACUUUUCAUCUUUGUGCCUUAUUUGUUUUAUACCUCUAAGUUUGUAACUCUUAAUCAUCUUUAUCUAUUUCACCCAUUCCACCACCACCUCCCUUCUGGCAACCACCAGUCAGCUCUCUGUAUUUAAGAGUGUGUUUGUUCACUUGUUUUAUUUUUUAGAUUUCACAUAAAAGUGAAAUCAUAUAGUAUUCGUUUUUCUCUGACUUAGCUCACUUAGCUUAAUACCUUUAAGUGUGUGAAUAGCAACACUGGUAAAUAGAACAAAAUGGAGCAAUGUCUUCAAAACUUGUAAGAAAAAAUAUUUCCAAUCUGAAAUUUUACAUCCAGCUGAAUUAUCAAUAUGUGUGAAGAUCAAAUAAAUUUGUUCUUUAGUACUUCCCACCUGAUUUUUCUUAGGAAGGUACUGGAUAAUAUACUCAACCUAAAUCAAGGUAUAAACUAAUAAGUAAUUACAUGUUUAUUCUGAAAAUAUGUCUCCAGCACAGAAGUAAAGGGAAUAGAAUUCUCAGAACAUGGUCAAGGAUGAUCCCAAGAUGAAAUCUGUAUUCCUGGUAUGGAGGCCAAACCAUUCUGAUCAGAGAGGUCAGAAGACAGUUGAAAAGAUUUCUUUCAGAAAGUAAAAUUGAUAAAAUGCCUGAUGCAUGCUAAUGCAAGGAAAAGAGUGAUAAAAUUAAUUAAUAAAUUAGGGUUAUUUUAGUGAUAGGAAAAAUAAGACAGUUUUUAGGGAAAAUAAAGUUUUAGGGAAAAGACAACUAAUAAUGUGAUACCUCUUGAAUGACCAUCUGAUAGCAUUCACAUAAUAACAAAACGAUGCAAAUGCAGAAUGUAGAUCUAACAAUAAUGUUGAUAAAUAGGAGUGACUGAAGGAUGUGAUGGAAUGUUAUAGAGGGGAAUGAUGAAAAAGAA